rnacentral:rRNA from 1 species
CCGAAAGAUCGAAUGGGGAGAUUCAGCGUCAGCGUUGCUGGUACGCGGUUUGGUUCACGAUGCCGGGGACUUCGGUCUCGCGGCACGCGUCCUUCCGCUAUCCGGCAUCGUCGGCGUGCACUUCUCCCCUAGUAGGACGUCGCGACCCGUUGGGUGUCGGUCUACGGUCCCGUGUGGUUGCCUGUCUCGUGUGGCGCUUUAUCGCGUCACCGCGGGGCAGACCCUCGGUUGGCCGACCGGCUGCCCGGCGGUACUCGUAAGGUAUCUGGCCGCAAUUUUCGAACUGCGUCCGGCCCGUCGCAAGCGAGGCCAGUGUUUCCCGAAUGUACGGAUUUAAUGCCGUCUACGGGCCUGGCCAGCUGUUGGUUGACGGUGUCCUAGGACUGGCAAUUUAUGAUACCGGUCGGCGACGCUACUGCUUUGGGUACUUUCAGGACCCGUCUUGAAACACGGACCAAGGAGUCUAACAUGUGCGCGAGUCAUUGGGAACUGUAAAGCCUAAAGGCGCAAUGAAAGUGAAGGUCGGCCUCGCGCCGACCGAGGGAGGAUGGGCCGUGUCACGAUGCGGCCCCGCACUCCCGGGGCGUCUCGUUCUCAUUGCGAGAAGAGGCGCACCCAGAGCGUACACGUUGGGACCCGAAAGAUGGU